ensembl:lncRNA
UCGCUUCUGCCGAGGCAAGGGCGCCUGUCGCUUCUGCCGAGGCAAGGGCGCCUGUCGCUUCUGCCGAGGCAAGGGCGCCUGUCGCUUCUGCCGAGGCAUUUGAACCAGAUUCCGCACUUGAGGUACCGUGGCCGGUUGCUUCCGCUGCAGAGGCAAAGUGGCCGGUUGCUUCACCGAAGGUAUUUAGGCCAGUCGUGGCGCUUGAUGAAGCACUGUGGCAAAUUGCUUCACCUAAGGUAUUUGGGCCAGCUGCCACACUUGUCGAGGCAUUAUGGGUGGCCGCUUGCGUGGCACUGUGGCCAGUUGCUUCCUCUGCAGAGGCACUGUGGCCAGUUACUUCACCUGAGGCACUUGGGCCAGUCGUGGCGCUUGAUGAAGCAUUGUGGCCAGUUGCUUCAGCUAAGGUAUUUGGGCCAGCUACCACACUUGUCGAGGCAUUAUGGGUGGCCGCUUGCGUGGCACUGUGGCCAGUUGCUUCCUCUGCAGAGGCACUGUGGCCAGUUGCUUCACCUGAGGCACUUGGGCCAGUCGUGGCGCUUGAUGAAGCAUUGUGGCCAGUUGCUUCAGCUAAGGUAUUUGGGCCAGUCGUGAUGCUUGCUGAGGCAUUGUGGUUGGCCGCUUCUGAGGCAUUAUGAGUGGCCGUUUGCAUGGCACUGUGUCCAGUUGCUUCCGCUGCCGAGGCACCGUGGCCAGUUGCUUCACCUAAGGUAUUUGGGCCAGUCGUGACGCUUACAGAGGCGUUAUGGGUGGCUGCUUCACCUGCUGAGGCACGGGAGCCGGUAGCUUCACCUGUCGAGGCACGGGAGCCAGUAGCUUCCGCUGCAUUGUGGCCAGUUCCUUUUACUUGAUUUUGGGGAAUAUAUCUAUAAUUACCUACAAAAGAAAAUAAUACGUUUCAAAUUGUAAAAUGCCAGCAUUUGAAGCCAUUUAAUUUCACUGAAUUAAAUGUGCAGAACAAAACACACCUUUAGGUGGAGGAUAACAGGUUAUCCCUCCAAUUAGCAGGCAACAAAUCCAAGAAAUUCUAAAUAAAAAUAAAAACAUCCUAGUCAGUUAAAUACAGCUACCUGUAAAACAUGGAAGACAAGGGAAUCAAAC